UCAGACGAUGCGUCAUGCAUAUCAAUAAGCGGAGGAAAAGAAACUAACAAGGAUUCCCUCAGUAACGGCGAGUGAAGCGGGAAGAGCUCAAAUUUGAAAUCUUAAAGGGUUUCCCUUUACGAAUUGUAGUUUAAAGAAGUGUUUUCUGUUGAGGUUUUGGUAAAAGUUCUUUGGAAUAGGACAUCAUAGAGGGUGAGAAUCCCGUAUUUGACCUUUACUUUCAACUUUGUGAUACACUUUCAAAGAGUCGGAUUGUUUGGGAAUGCAGUCCAAAAUGGGUGGUAAAUUUCAUCUAAAGCUAAAUAUUGGCGAGAGACCGAUAGCGAACAAGUACCGUGAGGGAAAGAUGAAAAGAACUUUGAAAGAGAGUUAAAUAGUACGUGAAAUUGUCAAAAGGGAAGCGUUUGACACCAGUGUUGUUUUCUCGAAAAUCAAUUAAAAAUGGCUCGAUUUUAUAUUGCUUGAGACCUUAAAAGCUCACUGUACAUUUUUCGUGUCUUUUUUAAUGCACUUUUCGUUUAACAAGUCAAUCAUCAGUUUCUUUUGUUGUAAAAGGGUCAUUGGAAGGUGGCUUUCUUUUCGGAGAAAGUGUUUAUAGCCUUUGGCCUCUGCAAUCGGAGAGACUGAGGUCUGCAGCGUAGACUCUUCGGGGAUUAGAUACAUUUGUGCUAAGUUAUAGCAUUUUAUAGACAACUUGUUGACUAUAAUUAGUCUUGUAGCUUACUCGCUUAUGCUAUUUUACCUACGCUUAGGAUGUUGACUGAUAUGUAGUCGUA
rnacentral:rRNA from 1 species